GGAGGAAAGCAGGGGAUCGUAAGACCUUGCGCUUUUGGAGCGGCCGAUGUCUGAUUAGCUAGUUGGUGGGGUAAUGGCCUACCAAAGCUUCGAUCAGUAGCUGGUCUGAGAGGACGGCCAGCCACACUGGGACUGAGACACGGCCCAGACUCCUACGGGAGGCAGCAGUGGGGAAUUUUGGACAAUGGGCGAAAGCCUGAUCCAGCAAUGCCGCGUGAGUGAAGAAGGCCUUCGGGUUGUAAAGCUCUUUCAGUCGAGAAGAAAGGGUCGCGACUAGUAAUCGCGACUCAUGACGGUAUCGACAGAAGAAGCACCGGCUAACUACGUGCCAGCAGCCGCGGUAAUACGUAGGGUGCGAGCGUUAAUCGGAAUUACUGGGCGUAAAGGGUGCGCAGGCGGCUUUGUAAGUCAGAUGUGAAAUCCCCGGGCUUAACCUGGGAAUUGCGUUUGAAACUACAAAGCUAGA
rnacentral:rRNA from 1 species